rnacentral:miRNA from 1 species
GUUUAACCUUUUGCCUGUUGG